AAGGACUGUUUCAGCAUUUUUAAAAACAGAACAUUUAAGUAUUUUUCUUGAAGCAGGCUCAGCCAUCUUAGUGUGAGACUGACCCUAGAAUCUGGCGUGUGAGUCGGGAGGCACGGUGGUGGCCUGGACCUGGCGGAGCGCGCUGUGGGGACGCCAGGCCACUGCUCCGGGCAGCAGUUCUCACGGGCCAUGAAGAGAGGCCAGUGCGGAGAUGCCGGGAGGCUCCACACGGCGCGCACGGAGCUUUCCCGACGGGUGUGUCAUGGGCACGCGUGUCCAUGGGGCUGGCUGUCCCUGAGCGGCUGGGCAUGGCCCUCCUGUUUCUUUAUUAAUUUGUUUCCCACGGACGUAGCUUGAACAUCGGUCGUGGGAGGCGCUGGUCCCUCGGGAGGGCGUCCCCUGGGGAUGUGCAGACGGCAGGCGACGCCUCUGAGACGUGCGGUGCACGUGCUGAUUGGAAGUGUCCUGCGCGGACCGCACGGUGCGGGGUGCUGGGAGCGGGCAGCGGGGUUUCUCCCCGAGGCCGUCCCGUCCUGUAACGGGGAUUCAGGGCCCUGUGGCUGUUGGGGUUCCGUCCCAACCAUCCUGGAGCGUGUUCCGCGUCUCAGGAGCUGCCAUGUUUUCUGGGGUUCCUGGAAGCAACAGGCGUGUUAACAGACAUUUCAAGAUCAUGCAAUAAAUGCUAAGACAGAGCGAUGGGCUGUGGGGGGCCGGCUGGGGGGCCGAUGUGGGAGGGAGGCCGAGGCCCAUUAGCCCAGUGACCAGUGGGUGGGCGUUGGGCAGAAGGGCCAGGUGGACACCCAGCACCUGGCGAGUGUGGUUUGGGUCCCAGCUCACGCAGUCCACUUCCCAGACGCAGAGGAACGCACGGCUGAUUACACAAACGGGACUGUUAAGGCCCCCGCUGCCCGCCUUUGUGUCCGGACGCAUCGUGUUUUCUUCCCUCCCGUCCUUGGGGGGCGUUUGGAAACGGUUUGGCAGAGGAAGUGUGCUUUGUUUUGAAGUUGCCGGUUCCCGCCCGCGUUCCCAGGGCGCCUGUGUUCCCAGCGUGUGAAUUGCAGGAUGUGUCCGGGGUCCUCCCUCCCGCAGACCCCCGCGUGCGCGGGCUGUUCUGGGAAAUUUCAUCCAGGGCCUCUGAAAUCCCAGCUGAACGCUGUCACCGGCUGAACAGGAAACAGAUGUUAAAAAAGGAAAAGAAAAAUGAAGAGCCACAAAGGACUGCAGUGGCCACAUCCACCAGCCUGACCUGCUUUGAAUCCCAUGGGAAUUGGCCUCGAUAGCGUCAGAAAGGCCCAUCGUAGACUCAGGAGAGCCGUCCCCGCGGCUCAGGAACCCGGACCCUCUUCUCGGGCCCCAUGCGUAGGCCCUGGGCCGUGCAGUCCCGCUGAGGCCGCAGCCCCUCAGCCCAGACCCAGCCCCUGUCUGGUCCGUCCACACAUCACCUGCCUCUUUGAAAAGAUUAAACACUGCUGGAUUUUGUUUGUCCAGAGA